UCUUUUUCCACCGGAGCUUGCUCCACCGGAAAAAGANGAGUGGCGAACGGGUGAGUAACACGUGGGUAACCUGCCCAUCAGAAGGGGAUAACACUUGGAAACAGGUGCUAAUACCGUAUAACAAUCNAAACCGCAUGGUUUUGAUUUGAAAGGCGCUUUCGGGUGUCGCUGAUGGAUGGACCCGCGGUGCAUUAGCUAGUUGGUGAGGUAACGGCUCACCAAGGCCACGAUGCAUAGCCGACCUGAGAGGGUGAUCGGCCACAUUGGGACUGAGACACGGCCCAAACUCCUACGGGAGGCAGCAGUAGGGAAUCUUCGGCAAUGGACGAAAGUCUGACCGAGCAACGCCGCGUGAGUGAAGAAGGUUUUCGGAUCGUAAAACUCUGUUGUUAGAGAAGAACAAGGAUGAGAGUAACUGUUCAUCCCUUGACGGUAUCUAACCAGAAAGCCACGGCUAACUACGUGCCAGCAGCCGCGGUAAUACGUAGGUGGCAAGCGUUGUCCGGAUUUAUUGGGCGUAAAGCGAGCGCAGGCGGUUUCUUAAGUCUGAUGUGAAAGCCCCCGGCUCAACCGGGGAGGGUCAUUGGAAACUGGGAGACUUGAGUGCAGAAGAGGAGAGUGGAAUUCCAUGUGUAGCGGUGAAAUGCGUAGAUAUAUGGAGGAACACCAGUGGCGAGGCGGCUCUCUGGUCUGUAACUGACGCUGAGGCUCGAAAGCGUGGGGAGCAAACAGGAUUAGAUACCCUGGUAGUCCACGCCGUAAACGAUGAGUGCUAAGUGUUGGAGGGUUUCCGCCCUUCAGUGCUGCAGCUAACGCAUUAAGCACUCCGCCUGGGG
rnacentral:rRNA from 1 species